GCAGUCGUGGCCGAGUGGUUAAGGCGAUGGACUUGAAAUUCAUAGGCCUGUAACUCUCAAGUUCUGAGCAGCGUUCCAGGCGAGCAAAAUAGAAUAUUUGGCUCGCGUUUGCG
rnacentral:tRNA from 1 species